rnacentral:rRNA from 1 species
UAGGGAAUCUUCGGCAAUGGGGGGUACCCUGACCGAGCAACGCCGCGUGAGUGAAGAAGGUUUUCGGAUCGUAAAGCUCUGUUGUUAAGGAAGAACGAGUGUGAGAAUGGAAAGUUCAUGCUGUGACGGUACUUAACCAGAAAGGGACGGCUAACUACGUGCCAGCAGCCGCGGUAAUACGUAGGUCCCGAGCGUUGUCCGGAUUUAUUGGGCGUAAAGCGAGCGCAGGCGGUUAGAAAAGUCUGAAGUGAAAGGCAGUGGCUCAACCAUUGUAGGCUUUGGAAACUGUUUAACUUGAGUGCAGAAGGGGAGAGUGGAAUUCCAUGUGUAGCGGUGAAAUGCGUAGAUAUAUGGAGGAACACCGGUGGCGAAAGCGGCUCUCUGGUCUGUAACUGACGCUGAGGCUCGAAAGCGUGGGGAGCGAACAGG